AUUGAACGCUGGCGGCAGGCCUAACACAUGCCAGUCGAGCGGAUGAAGGGAGCUUGCUCCUGGAUUCAGCGGCGGACGGGUGAGUAAUGCCUAGGAAUCUGCCUGGUAGUGGGGGAUAACGUCCGGAAACGGGCGCUAAUACCGCAUACGUCCUGAGGGAGAAAGUGGGGGAUCUUCGGACCUCACGCUAUCAGAUGAGCCUAGGUCGGAUUAGCUAGUUGGUGGGGUAAAGGCCUACCAAGGCGACGAUCCGUAACUGGUCUGAGAGGAUGAUCAGUCACACGGGAACUGAGACACGGUCCAGACUCCUACGGGAGGCAGCAGUGGGGAAUAUUGGACAAUGGGCGAAAGCCUGAUCCAGCCAUGCCGCGUGUGUGAAGAAGGUCUUCGGAUUGUAAAGCACUUUAAGUUGGGAGGAAGGGCAGUAAGUUAAUACCUUGCUGUUUUGACGUUACCAACAGAAUAAGCACCGGCUAACUUCGUG
rnacentral:rRNA from 1 species